rnacentral:rRNA from 1 species
CGCUAGUAAUCGCGUAUCAGAAUGACGCGGUGAAUACGUUCCCGGGCCUUGUACACACCGCCCGUCACACCAUGGGAGUGGGUUGCUCCAGAAGUAGAUAGUCUAACCCUCGGGAGGACGUUUACCACGGAGUGAUUCAUGACUGGGGUGAAGUCGUAACAAGGUAGCCCUAGGGGAACCUGGGGCUGGAUCACCUCCUUAUACGA